UACGGAGGGUGCGAGCGUUGUCCGGAAUCACUGGGCGUAAAGGGCGCGUAGGCGGCAUGCCAAGCGUGUGGUGAAAAGCCCGGGGCUCAACCCCGGGUCGGCCGUGCGGACUGGCGUGCUCGAGCACUGUAGGGGCGGGUGGAAUUCCGGGUGUAGCGGUGGAAUGCGUAGAGAUCCGGAAGAACACCGGUGGCGAAGGCGGCCCGCUGGGCAGGAAGACACCGCAAGGUGUCGGCUGACGCUGAGGCGCGACAGCGUGGGGGAGCAAACAGG
rnacentral:rRNA from 1 species